UCGAGCGAGAACCAGGGCUUCGGCCCUGGGGACAGCGGCGAACGGGUGAGUAACACGUGGGUCAUCUGCCCUCGGCACCGGAAUAGCCCGGGGAAACCCGGAUUAAUGCCGGAUGGCCCGACCGCUCUACGGGGCGGUCGGAAAAGGUAGCUUCGGCCUCCGGCCGAGGAUGAGCCCGCGGCGGAUUAGCUAGUCGGUGGGGUAACGGCCACCGAGGCGACGAUCCGUAGCUGGUCUGAGAGGACGAUCAGCCACACUGGGGCUGAGACACGGCCCAGACUCCUACGGGAGGCAGCAGUGGGGAAUCUUGCGCAAUGGGCGAAAGCCUGACGCAGCGACGCCGCGUGAGGGAAGAAGGCUUUCGGGUUGUAAACCUCUUUCAGGAGGGACGAAGCCACUCGGGUGAAUAGCCCAGAGGGUGACGGUACCUCCAGAAGAAGCCCCGGCUAACUACGUGCCAGCAGCCGCGGUAAUACGUAGGGGGCAAGCGUUG
rnacentral:rRNA from 1 species